GACGAACGCUGGCGGCGUGCCUAAUACAUGCAAGUAGAACGCUGAAGCGAGGAGCUUGCUCUUCUUGGAUGAGUUGCGAACGGGUGAGUAACGCGUAGGUAACCUGCCUUGUAGCGGGGGAUAACUAUUGGAAACGAUAGCUAAUACCGCAUAACAAUGGAUGACACAUGUCAUUUAUUUGAAAGGGGCAAUUGCUCCACUACAAGAAGGAACUGCGUUGUCUUAGCUAGUAGGUGAGGUAAUGGCUCACCUAGGCGACGAUACAUAGCCGACCUGAGAGGGUGAUCGGCCACACUGGGACUGAGACACGGCCCAGACUCCUACGGGAGGCAGCAGUAGGGAAUCUUCCGCAAUGGGGGAAAGCCUGACCGAGCAACGCCGCGUGAGUGAAGAAGGUUUUCGGAUCGUAAAACUCGGUUGUAAGGGAAGAACAGGUGUGUAAGUAAAAAUUUCACACUGUACCGGAAGUUUACCAGAAGGGGACGGCUAACUAGGUG
rnacentral:rRNA from 1 species